AACGAACGCUGGCGGCAUGCCUAACACAUGCAAGUCGAACGAGACCUUCGGGUCUAGUGGCGCACGGGUGCGUAACGCGUGGGAAUCUGCCCUUAGGUACGGAAUAACUCAGGGAAACUUGAGCUAAUACCGUAUAAUGACUCCGGUCCAAAGAUUUAUCGCCUAAGGAUGAGCCCGCGUCGGAUUAGCUAGUUGGUGAGGUAAAAGCUCACCAAGGCGACGAUCCGUAGCNGGUCUGAGAGGAUGAUCAGCCACACUGGGACUGAGACACGGCCCAGACUCCUACGGGAGGCAGCAGUGGGGAAGUAUUGGACAAUGGGCGGAAAGCCUGAUCCAGCAAUGCCGCGUGAGUGAUGAAGGCCUUAGGGUUGUAAAGCUCUUUUACCCGGGAAGAUAAUGACUGUACCGGGAGAAUAAGCCCCGGCCUAACUUCGUGCCAGCCGCCGCCGUAA
rnacentral:rRNA from 1 species